AACGAACGCUGGCGGCAGGCCUAACACAUGCAAGUCGAACGCACCGCAAGGUGAGUGGCGCACGGGUGAGCAACACGUGGGAAUGUACCCUUUGGUUCGGAAUAACGUUUGGAAACGAACGCUAAUACCGGAUGAGCCCUGUGGGGAAGAUUAUCGCCAAAGGAGCAGCCCGCGUCUGAUUAGCUAGUUGGUGGGGUAAAGGCCUACCAAGGCGACGAUCAGUAGCUGGUCUGAGAGGAUGAUCAGCCACACUGGGACUGAGACACGGCCCAGACUCCUACGGGAGGCAGCAGUGGGGAAUAUUGGACAAUGGGCGGAAGCCUGAUCCAGCCAUGCCGCGUGAGUGAUGAAGGCCUUCGGGUUGUAAAGACUCUUUCGCACGCAACGAUGAUGACGGUAGCGUGAGAAGAAGACCCCGGCUAACUUCGUGCCAGCAGCCGCGGUAAU
rnacentral:rRNA from 1 species